rnacentral:rRNA from 1 species
AUGAAGGUAGAGGACGUCCUCCACAUGGCUACCGGCGACGGAGAGAAUAGCUACGCCGCCAACUCCAGGAUCCCAAUGAAGGCCAUGCUGAAGAACAGGCCAUUGCUUCAAAGGACCGUAGAAGAGGUAUACACCUCGCUCUCCCCUGCGAGCACCAUGGUCGUUGCUGACCUCGGCUGUUCAUCGGGCCCGAAUGCGCUAUUCAUCGUCGCCGAGGUUACUGGCAUGAUCUCUGACUACAACCAGAACACAAACGAACAACACGGCGUGGAGCUGCAGUUUCUCCUGAAUGACUUGCCCAAGAACGAUUUCAACCUCAUCUUCCAGUCGCUUGAUCAGUUCCACACUGUCACUAGGAAAGGGGAGGGCGAUGAGGCGGCGACGCCACCGUACUAUGUCGUCGGGCUACCUGGAUCUUUCUACAACAGGCUUUGUCCUAGCAAGACCGUCCAUCUUUUCCACUCGUCCUACAGCCUCCAUUGGCUCUCCAAGGUGCCCGAGGAACUCUCAAGUGGCAACUAUCUAAAUGAAGGAAACAUCCAUAUUGGAAAGACUACUCCACAUUCAAUAGCAAAUCUAUUCAGAGAACAAUUUCAAAUUGACUUUGAGUUGUUCCUUACACUGCGCUCAAAAGAAUUGAUAAGUGGUGGGCGAAUGUUUUUGAUGCUUCUGGGACGAAAGAGCGAAGAAAUGCUAACGCAUGGUGAAAUUGGCACCAUGUGGGAUUUGCUUUCUGAAUCUCUCCAGUCACUUGUCCUCAAGGGUCGCGUGGAAAAAGGGAAACUUGACUCAUUCAACCUGCCACUCUACGCACCAUCAGUGGAGGAGGUGAAGGCAGUAGUCAACCGCACAGAGCUCUUCGACAUUGAGCAUGUGGGGAUGGUCGAAGUCAACUGGGACCCUCAAGAUGAUGAUUCCGACGACGAGCACAUGGUGCCUGACGCUGCCAGCAGUGGGAGAAACCUCUCCAUGACCAUCAGAUCAGUGUUAGAGCCACUUAUUGCUGGCCACUUCGGCGAUGGCAUUAUUGAUGAGCUGUUCGAGGUGUAUGCCUGCGUCGUUGCAAAACAUCUUGAGAAAUGGAAUGCCAAGUUGCCCAGCAUCGUGGUCUCUCUGAAGAAGGCCAUGCAUUAA